ensembl:lncRNA novel transcript
AUUUAAGAAAAAUAGUGUCAGAGUACAGGAUGGACUCCCCCAGUGGGAGAGCUGACACCAUGUAAAUGAUUCAUUAGCAGAUGCUUUAGCUGAACCUCAGCUGUUUUCACCAGUGACGUCGAUGUGACGGAGAUAUUUGUUCAGGUGAUGGGACUUGAGUGGGCCUUGGGCCAGACCUCCACCCCCAGGGACCACCCUUCUAGCACUGAAAGGCAAUAGUCUUCACACUGGCUGAAUCCUGUAUUUUCUCAAUCCUCCAAAUCCGACCAACUUCUCUAAAUUGUACUGCAAGGUUUUGGCAGCCAGAGCUCCCACUCCUUGCCACCAUCCCACCGCCACCACUGGAGGUGCUGAAGGCCAAGUACAAGCCAUCCGGGUGGAAACCUGUAUUUGAAGGUCUGCACCGCGGGGCAAAGGGCCAGCUUGUUCCCUCUGCAACUGGAUGAGCUGAAUUGGCAGCAGACAACCAGCGUUUCUCAGGAAGCUGUACCAACAAGAUGCAAAAGGGAGAGGUGGAGCAGAGGAGGGCAGUUCAUGAGCUGAUUGUGCUAAGCCCUGUCAAAUAAUCCUUUAGAAACCCGAUGGCCACUGUAGGCAGAAAAUCAAGUUGGGAGUCUGAGGAAAGCUACUCUAAUCAUAGAAAAAUUCUUGUAUUAUUUGUGUUUCUCAAAUCUCACUACUCAGAGUGGGAGCCGCGGACCAGCAGCAGUAGCAGCAAUGCCUGGGAGCUUGCUAGAAACACAGAAUGUCACUCCCCACCCCAGACUAAUGAGAAUCUGCGUCUUGACAAGAUCCCUGGCUGAUGCCUGUACAGCUUUACAGUUUGAAGAGCACUGGUCUAAAGGCAACAAAUCAUGAAGAUUUUAUUUCAAAAAUCCAAGGGCCCUUGGGACCCCAGAGAAUGCCACUUCACUUGAAUAAAACCAGACCUGGGUGCCCUCUCUACCACGGGGGAAUUGCCACUUUGACCCUCCUGAACACUCUACUUAAGACUCAGGUGUGUCCCUCUUGUCUCAUCCUUCAGUGAGCCCCCACGACUGGAAGCGCCCGUGGGCAAGGACACAGGUCACGGGGCAACCUCUGCCCUCAUGUGUGCCUCUCAUCUCUCGCUCAUGCCUUCAGCACAGAACUGAGCAUUUGCUGUCCAUCAGGCCCUGGGGUGGCUCUCUGGCUACAGAGAGAAAGGAAGAUUCCUGCCCCGGAGGGGCUCCCACUCUAUGGGCUGAUGCUGGAGGGAGAGAGAUGACAGUAGCUGGUGAGUGGGAGAAGUCUUUAGACUCUCAGGCCCCACGUGCCAUCACUGACAGGCUGCUCAUGACAGCCAACAUCAGAAAGCCAAAUGUCCUGGGAGUAGGAAUCUCUGUCUUCCCGGGGAAGGCUCCAUCCAUGCAGUAUCUGUCACGUGCAAAGAGACAGCUUCCAAGACACAGCGUGUGCACGUGGUAUUGAACAUUAAAGAGAACGUAGGCUGCCGAGUGUGCUGUGUGCCAUCUUGAUGUGUUAUUCUCCUCCAAAAGAGUUUGUCUUUUUUUUUUUUUUUCAUUUAUUUUCUCAGAAAGCGAAACUCGCAUCCAGGAAAACGACAGCAUCAGGAGAGUGACUCAGUGUUCUCUCAUGUUGCUCAGUCCUCGCACUUUCUUCAAGCAGCCUGGUGGGGAGAAAAUAUUGACAAGUUUCUGUCUCACUGCUUGGUGCCUACAAUAGCACUGAGCAGGCCAUAGCAGAUUUAAAAUUUCUAUCCUUCCAUCCCAGACUCAAACUAAUGUCACUGCUAACUAGGGGACAUUAAAGGAGCCCAAACCAGCAGGUAAAUUGUCAUCAGUGAUCCUUGAGGCUGGCCCUGGUCUGACCUGGUGCCCUGCAUACCAUGAUUGCCCUGGUGAUGGGCUCAGCCCUGCCACCUUCACCACUCCGUCUUAAUGAUGGACAGUACCACAGGCAGCUCCAAACAGCCUCAGCUGCUGCAUCCCCAACCCUCAGCUCCAGCCUGCAUGUAGAACUGCCCUGGCUUCCCCAUUCCUGCUCCCUUGGACCUUUCACUGGUAAAACAGGAGACUGGAGAAAGACCUGGGGAGGGGAAUGGGGAAAAAAGCCUCACUCCAAGUCAGUAUGACUUCCUUAAGAUGACGAUGAUCGCAUUGUAAACCAGCUCAUCAACAUCUAACAGGGAUGGGAUGGUGGAAGGAGAUUUGGGGGAGGAAGAUUCAGCUGAGAUGAGAAUAAAUCUGGAAACAUCAAGAAUAGGGAGCUGGGAUCAGGUAAUUACGUGGUCUGCUAGGAACCUUAAACAUAAUUUUGAAAAGUUCAGUUGGAGUUCUAGUCUAAGCCUUUUAAAAUAAGUUUACUAUUUUUGAAAAUCACUCAAGCAAAAGGUGUUCCUUGUUUUAAAAUAAAAUAAAAAUUUAAGUGAUUAAACAUUACUCAACUAUCACUCUUAACACUUUUGUAUAUUAUAUCCUUCUACAAUUUAUGUAUAUAAAGACAAAUAGAAAUAGAGAAUUAUAGAUCUGGAUACAGCAUGAGAUGGAAUCGUACUGCACAUAUUAGCUUGUAUGUGCUAUUUAGUUAAUCCUAUAAUCAUGAAAAUCUUCUAUAAUAUCAUUGUAAAUGACUGCAUAGUUUUACACUGGUAUGUACACUAUAGUUUUUGCAGCUGACUUGCUGUUAUUGGAUAUUUAGGUUGUUUCUGUUUCUCUACCUACAUCUAUCUAUCUAUCUA